rnacentral:rRNA from 1 species
GGCUACGAGGACGAACGCUGGCGGCGUGCCUAACACAUGCAAGUCGAGCGGGGACUUUAGACAGAUUGAAGACUCGGUUGGAAAUGAAGAUGUAAAGUUCUAGCGGCGGACGGGUGAGUAACGCGUGAGCAACCUGUCCCUUACAGGGGGAUAACACAGCGAAAGUUGUACUAAUACCGCAUGAGACCACAGUAUCACAUGGUACAGGGGUCAAAGGAGCAAUCCGGUAAGGGGUGGGCUCGCGUCCGAUUAGAUAGUUGGUGAGGUAACGGCCCACCAAGUCGACGAUCGGUAGCCGACCUGAGAGGGUGAUCGGCCACAUUGGGACUGAGACACGGCCCAAACUCCUACGGGAGGCAGCAGUGGGGAAUAUUGGGCAAUGGGGGGAAACCCUGACCCAGCAACGCCGCGUGAGGGAAGAAGGUUUUCGGAUCGUAAACCUCUGUCCUUGGUGAAGAGGAAGAGACGGUAGCCAAGGAGGAAGCCCCGGCUAACUACGUGCCAGCAGCGGC